rnacentral:rRNA from 1 species
AUUGAACGCUGGCGGCAUGCCUUACACAUGCAAGUCGAACGGCAGCACGGGUGCUUGCACCUGGUGGCGAGUGGCGAACGGGUGAGUAAUACAUCGGAACAUGUCCUGUAGUGGGGGAUAGCCCGGCGAAAGCCGGAUUAAUACCGCAUACGAUCUACGGAUGACAGCGGGGGACCUUCGGGCCUCGCGCUGUAGGGUUGGCCGAUGGCUGAUUAGCUAGUUGGUGGGGUAAAGGCCUACCAAGGCGACGAUCAGUAGCUGGGCUGAGAGGACGACCAGCCACACUGGGACUGAGACACGGCCCAGACUCCUACGGGAGGCAGCAGUGGGGAAUUUUGGACAAUGGGCGAAAGCCUGAUCCAGCAAUGCCGCGUGUGUGAAGAAGGCCUUCGGGUUGUAAAGCACUUUUGUCCGGAAAGAAAUCCUUGGCCCUAAUACGGUCGGGGGAUGACGGUACCGGAAGAAUAAGCACCGGCUAACUACGUG